UACGGGGGGGGCAAGCGUUGUUCGGAAUUACUGGGCGUAAAGGGCUCGUAUGCGGCCAACUAAGUCAGACGUGAAAUCCCUCGGCUUAACCGGGGAACUGCGUCUGAUACUGGAUGGCUUGAGUUUGGGAGAGGGAUGCGGAAUUCCAGGUGUAGCGGUGAAAUGCGUAGAUAUCUGGAGGAACACCGGUGGCGAAGGCGGCAUCCUGGACCAACACUGACGCUGAGUGAGCGAAAGCCAGGGGAGCAAACGGG
rnacentral:rRNA from 1 species